UUCUCUCCCAGUUCCCCCACUUCGCUCCCAGUUUGGUCCCAGUUCACUCCCACUUACCCCAGUUCACUCCCAGUUUGCUCCCAGUUCCCCCAGUUCAAUCCCAGUCUCUCCUAGUUCACUCCCAGUUACCCCAGUUCACUCCCAGUUACCCCAGUUUGGUCCCAGUUUGCUCCCAGUUACUCCAGUUCAGUCCCAGUUACCCCAGUUUGGUCCCAGUUCUCUCCCAGUCUCUCCCAGUUCUCUCCCAGUUACCCCAGUUCUCUCCCAGUUCGCUCCCAGUUCUCUCCCAGUCUGUCCCAGUUACCCCAAUUCUCUCCCAGUUCUCUCCCAGUUUGUCCCAGUCUCUCCCAGUUACCCCAGUUCGGUCUCAGUUUGGUCCCAGUUCUCUCCCAGUUCUCUCACAGUCUCUCCCAGUUACCCCAGUUUGGUCCCAGUUACCCCAGUUUGGUCCCAGUUCUCUCCCAGUUCUCUCCCAGUUUGUCCCAGUUCGGUUCCGUUUCUCUCCCGGAAGUCGCCGCCGGCCGCGCGCCGCUCACGUGACCCCCCGCCCCUUUAGCCCCGCCCCCGUUGCCGCGGCAACCGCGCCGUCUUUCCGGCCCACCACGUGAUCCGCGCCCCGACCAAUCGGCGGCCGGCGCGGGGCAGCGCUCGGCCAAUCAGAGCGCGGGGAGGCGGCGCGCGCGCGGCUGUGUGCUGGCCUGGGCGCCGCCAUGUUGGGGGGGGCACCAAGAGCAC
rnacentral:lncRNA from 1 species